CAAUAGCGUAUAUUAAAGUUGUUGCAGUUAAAAAGCUCGUAGUUGGAUUUGUGGCGUACGGUGUGUUCCGGGCACUUGUUGUCUGAGUAACCUGCUGUUGCCAUCCUUGGGUGGGACCUGUGUGGCAUUAGGUUGUCGUGCAGGGGAUGCCCAACAUUUACUGUGAAAAAAUUAGAGUGUUCAAAGCAGGCUUAUGCCGUUGAAUAUAUUAGCAUGGAAUAAUGAGAUAGGACUUUUUUGCUAUUUUGUUGGUUUGCGCAAAGAGGUAAUGAUUAAUAGGGACAGUUGGGGGUAUUCGUAUUCCAUUGUCAGAGGUGAAAUUCUUGGAUUUUUGGAAGACGAACUACUGCGAAAGCAUUUACCAAGGAUGUUUUCAUUAA
rnacentral:rRNA from 1 species